AACGCAUAUUGCGCUCGAGGCCUCGGCCAAGAGCAUGUCUGCCUCAGCGUCGGCUCACCCCUCGCCACCCCUUCUCCUGUCCUCUCUUAAGUGAGAGAGACCGGAAGGGGGCCGGCGGACCUGGCCGUCUCGGUUGGUCGAGCGCUCACCCGCUCGACCUGGACCGGGUCGGCUGAAGCCCAGAGGCUUGGAGCAGGACCCCGAUUGAAAGGGCACAGCUUGGUAGGUGGCUUCAUCGCCGCAUGCCGCUGGCGCCCCGAGGGCAGUGCUGCGAUCGACAAGCCCGCAGGAAAAGGUUGGCGGGGCUGCGGUCUGCGAAUUCGUUUGCAGCCGCGACCCCCCCAUCCCCAUGUUUUCGACCUGAGUUCAGGCAAGGCUACCCGCUGAACUUAA
rnacentral:rRNA from 1 species